rnacentral:rRNA from 1 species
CGCGUAGGCGGAUUGAAAAGUUGGGGGUGAAAUCCCGGGGCUCAACCCCGGAACUGCCUCCAAACUAUCAGUCUAGAGUUCGAGAGAGGUGAGUGGAAUUCCAAGUGUAGAGGUGAAAUUCGUAGAUAUUUGGAGGAACACCAGUGGCGAAGGCGGCUCACUGGCUCGAUACUGACGCUGAGGUGCGAAAGUGUGGGGAGCAAACA